rnacentral:rRNA from 1 species
CCUACGGGAGGCAGCAGUGGGGAAUUUUGGACAAUGGGCGAAAGCCUGAUCCAGCAAUGCCGCGUGAGUGAAGAAGGCCUUCGGGUUGUAAAGCUCUUUUGUCAGGGAAGAAACGGUGUGGGCUAAUAUCCUGCACUAAUGACGGUACCUGAAGAAUAAGCACCGGCUAACUACGUGCCAGCAGCCGCGGUAAUACGUAGGGUGCAAGCGUUAAUCGGAAUUACUGGGCGUAAAGCGUGCGCAGGCGGUUUUGUAAGUCUGUCGUGAAAUCCCCGGGCUCAACCUGGGAAUUGCGAUGGAGACUGCAAGGCUAGAAUCUGGCAGAGGGGGGUAGAAUUCCACGUGUAGCAGUGAAAUGCGUAGAGAUGUGGAGGAACACCGAUGGCGAAGGCAGCCCCCUGGGUCAAGAUUGACGCUCAUACACGAAAGCGUGGGGAGCAAACAGGAUUAGAUACCCUGGUAGUCCACGCCCUAAACGAUGUCUACUAGUUGUCGGGUUUUAAUUAACUUGGUAACGCAGCUAACGCGUGAAGUAGACCGCCUGGGGAGUACGGUCGCAAGAUUAAAACUCAAAGGAAUUGACGG